UGUUUAAACAGUUCCUUUGCGGCACCCUCUAAUCUCCAAGGAUGAUUGAAACCCAACUCUGGGGCUCACAGAUUGGGUCUUCGGGAAGCAACCAGUACCAGAUAAGGUCUAGAGCCCCCAUGGUUGGCUUUCUGUUGGAUUUGUAAGAAGAGAGGAACCUGAACACGCAGACUGGGAACUCUGCCUGUAAGAAUGUCACGGCCAAACUGCCUCCUCACUGUGGCACCAGAAUGAGGAUCAAAAUUAAAGUUUUCUUCUGAAAAA
rnacentral:lncRNA from 1 species